AGAGUUUGAUCCUGGCUCAGAAUGAACGCUGGCGGCAUGGAUUAGGCAUGCAAGUCGAGCGCGAACGUUUUCUUCGGAGAACAAGUAGAGCGGCGAAAGGGUGAGUAACACGUGAGUAACCUGCCCCCGACUCUGGAAUAGCCCCGGGAAACUGGGAUUAAUGCCGGAUGGUGCCGGAAUUCCGCAAGGAGGUCCGGCUAAAGAUUUAUCGGUCGGGGAUGGGCUCGCGGCCCAUUAGCUAGUUGGUGAGGUAACGGCCCACCAAGGCUUAGACGGGUAGGUGGUCUGAGAGGAUGGUCACCCACACUGGGACUGAGACACUGCCCAGACUCCUACGGGAGGCUGCAGUCGAGAAUCUUCCGCAAUGGGCGAAAGCCUGACGGAGCAAUGCCGCGUGAGGGAUGAAGGCCUUCGGGUUGUAAACCUCUGUCACCCGGGACGAAGAAUUGACGGUACCGGGAGAGGAAGCCACGGCUAACUACGUGCCAGCAGCCGCGGUAAUACGUAGGUGGCGAGCGUUAUUCGGAUUUACUGGGCGUAAAGGGUUCGUAGGGGGUUUGCCAAGUCUGAUGUGAAAUCCCGCAGCUCAACCGCGGAAGUGCAUUGGAUACUGGCGAACUAGAGUCCACGAGAGGAAAGCGGAAUUCCUGGUGUAGCGGUGGAAUGCGUAGAUAUCAGGAAGAACACCGGCGGCGAAGGCGGCUUUCUGGCGUGAAACUGACCCUGAGGAACGAAAGCGUGGGUAGCAAACAGGAUUAGAUACCCUGGUAGUCCACGCUGUAAACGUUGUACACUAGAUGCGGGCGAUACUUCGGUGUUGUCCGUGUCCCAGCUAACGCGAUAAGCGUACCGCCUGGGGACUACGGCCGCAAGGCUAAAACUCAAAGGAAUUGACGGGGGCCCGCACAAGCGGUGGAGCAUGUGGCUUAAUUCGAGGCAACGCGAAGAACCUUACCUGGGUUUGACAUAUUCCGGCCCGCCUGUGAAAGCAGGCUUUUUCUUCGGAAACCGGUAUACAGGUGCUGCAUGGCUGUCGUCAGCUCGUGCCGUGAGGUGUUCGGUUAAGUCCGGCAACGAGCGCAACCCAUGUGAUUAGUUGCCAGCAGGUGAUGCUGGGCACUCUAGUCAGACUGCCCGUGUUAAGCGGGAGGAAGGCGUGGUUGACGUCAAGUCCGUAUGGCCCUUACAUCCAGGGCUGCACACGUGCUACAAUGGGUGGUACAGUGAGAAGCAAUACCGCGAGGUGGAGCAAAUCUCCAAAACCAUCCUCAGCUCGGAUUGGAGUCUGCAACUCGACUCCAUGAAGCCGGAAUCGCUAGUAAAGGCGUAUCAGCAAUGACGCCUUGAAUACGUUCCCGGGCCUUGUACACACCGCCCGUCACAUCAUGGAAGCUGGCUGCACCCGAAGUUCCCGUUAUGCGGGACCGAAGGUGUGUCCAGUGACUGGGAUGAAGUCGGAACAAGGUAGCCGUAGGGGA
rnacentral:rRNA from 1 species